rnacentral:misc_RNA from 1 species
GAUGAAGAACGUAGCGAAAUGCGGUAAGUAAUGUGAAUUGCAGAAUUCAGUGAAUCAUCGAAUCUUUGAACGCACCUUGCACCCUUUGGCAUUCCGAAGGGUAUGCUCGUUUGAGUGUCAUUGUACUCUCACACUUCCGAUCUUUGGAUUGGGAGCGGUGGACUUGGGUGUUGCUGCUUACUGUGGCUCACCUCAAAUCGAUUCGUGCACCUCUUGGUUGGACAUAGUACGGCGUGAUAAGUGUCUUCGCCGGCACCUCAGUAGAGGGUGGCUGAUCGGGAGCUCUGCUUCAAACCGUCCUCGGACAACAACUGACAACUUGACCUCAAAUCGAGUAGGACUACCCGCUGAACUUAAGCAUAUCAUAAGCGGAGGA